GUGCCAGCAGCCGCGGUAAGACGUAGGGAGCGAGCGUUGUCCGGAUUCAUUGGGCGUAAAGAGCGCGUAGGCGGCUACGCAAGUCGGAUGUGAAAACUCGGGGCUCAACCCCGAGCCUGCAUCCGAUACUGCGUGGCUAGAGGUAGGUAGGGGAGAUCGGAAUUCCUGGUGUAGCGGUGAAAUGCGCAGAUAUCAGGAGGAACACCGGUGGCGAAGGCGGAUCUCUGGGCCUUACCUGACGCUCAGGCGCGAAAGCUAGGGGAGCGAACAGGAUUAGAAACCCCUGUAGUCC
rnacentral:rRNA from 1 species